rnacentral:rRNA from 1 species
UACGAAGGGGGCUAGCGUUGCCCGGAAUUACUGGGCGUAAAGCGCACGUAGGCGGGUUCUUAAGUCGGUGGUGAAAUCCUGGAGCUCAACUCCAGAACUGCCUUCGAAACUGGGAAUCUUGAGUCCGGGAGAGGUGAGUGGAACUGCGAGUGUAGAGGUGAAAUUCGUAGAUAUUCGCAAGAACACCAGUGGCGAAGGCGGCUCACUGGCCCGGUACUGACGCUGAGGUGCGAAAGCGUGGGGAGCAAACAGG